GACAGAGGGUGCAAACGUUGCUCGGAAUUACUGGGCGUAAAGUGCGUGUAGGUGGAUUGGUGUGUCAGAUGUGAAAGCCCUGGGCUCAACCCAGGAACUGCACCUGAAACUACCAGUCUUGAGUGGUGGAGAGGGAAGUGGAAUUCCUGGUGUAGAGGUGAAAUUCGUAGAUAUCAGGAGGAACACCAGUGGCGAAGGCGGCUUCCUGGACACCAACUGACGCUGAGACGCGAAAGCGUGGGAGCAAACAGG
rnacentral:rRNA from 1 species